GUUCGUGCCCGUCCGCAUCUUGUGGAAAGCACUUCUGGUGGUCGUGAUCUGCAAAUGGUAUAAUUCCUUUACACCCACACAAUUGACUUUUGAAUCACAACUUGGUGUAAUCUACAUUUUAUUGGUAUGUGGCUGUUGCUAAUCUUUAACUACUGAAUUUGGUUUGUUUUUUGGAGUAGGUAUCUAAAAUCUCAAUAAUUAUUUAAAUUAGUUUCUACUUUUGCAAGGUUAUAUACAUUUAAUUCUGUUGUUACCUUUGCAUUGACAGUCAAAAAUAUCGAGCUUGCGAGAAGAAUCUUCCCAAUCUGGUGUGCAAUUAACAUUAGAGGAGAUGUCUAAGCAGGCACUUGGAAAAAGGAAGAGAUACAUUCUUGGAUUUGGGGUUGGGCCGAAGCCCUCUUCAUCUUCUUCCACACCUAGUCGUGUGUCACAAGAUCAUGUUGGGGAGUUGCAGAAACUUAAAGCUGAGAUGGAAGAGAUGAAGAUGGAGCGUGAGGAGCUGCGGAGGCAAUUGGAGUAGGAGAAGAAAGAGCAUGAGGAGGAAAGAAAAGAGCGAGAGGAAGAACAUAAGCAAAUUGCACAUCUUACAAGUUUGGUGACAGAGAUCUUAAAGGAAAAGAUCCAAACGCACAAGUCAUCUAUCCAUCAUGAUGGGGCCAUGUAUUCAACUGGUGGUACAAAUACUCGUUGAUACAUGAUGGAGUUUUGAGCAUGUGAAAUCUAGUUUUUGGUACAUGGAUAGCUUUUGUUCAGAUGAUCAUGGUGGAGUUGUCUACAAGCAGAAUCCAGUUUUUGGUAUAAGAAUAUUUUUGUCUACAUGAUGGUUGUUUGGAUGAAUAGCAAGAUCAGAUAUUUUGGAAUUUUUAAUUUACAUUUUGAUGUGUUUGGUGAUGAUUAUCACCUUAACAUAUGGUAUGGAUGAAACAUUGUGAUGUAUGGUUAAUAGGUAUGCUUGACUUUAGACUUAUAGAUAAUGAUAUUUAUAAUGAAUGAUUAUGGAUUCUCGAACAUUG